CAUUGUCACGGGCUUUAAAAUAUUUGCUAGAGCUAUUUAAACAUAAUACAUGUUAAAUUUUACAUGUAAACAUAAGUUAAGUCCACUUCACUUGCAAGGUAGAUUGAUUAGUAAAAAUUUGUUACACAUUAAGAUCUAUUUGACGCUUUUAAGAAAUUCUCGCACAUUUGCAGGAUAUUGUCUUUAGCUUCACUCGCAUGAUAUUUGAGCAACUAUACUAAAAACGUCUUCCUCAGCUCAUACCCAUCCUACACAAGCAUGAAAUCACCAUUAGCAUGAAUAUCUUACAUUAAUAAAGGUGAUAAAUGUGUAACCGAGAAUACUGACCGUGCAAACCGGGCAAACCAAUUCUUUAACGUCCCAACGGAGCAUAAAGAAAAAAAACUAAAUAGCCAGACACAUUCCUGCAAUUUCAUAAAUUCAUAUUAUCUUGAUUAUAGUGAUAACAAAAUAAAUGCUUGUAUUUUGCAUGGAUUUUUUUGAGGGGUGUAUUUUGCAUGGAUAAUAUAUGGUUUUUUCGUACAACAAAUUUUGGGAUCCAAGGCCCAAAUCAGCAUAGCCCACUCUCUCCUUCCCCUCACUAUCCUAUCCCGCACGGCCCAACCAACCCCCACUAUAUCUUUCUCAAAAAAAAAAAACAGCCCCCACCUUCUCCUUCCCCUCACUCUAUUGUUCCCCUCACUCUCUCCACUCCCUCUCCACUCCCGCAAAUCCCUAAUCUCGGCCGAGUCACCCACUCCACUCCCUCCGCUGUCGCCCCCACAGCCGCCAGAACCAGCGAACUCGUCUCCCACCGCCUCCCCCUCUCGUCCGAGCCCUCUACUCAUCCGACGGCGCUGACCGCGCAGAUCGAGCGACCAGGCCGCGGCCACAUGCGCACACAACCGGCGACCAACAUCACGCAAAGGUCACCACCGCCGUCGCUGAAGGGUGGUCUUCUUCCACCUCGACGGACGAGCUUGCGUGCCAGGAGAGGAGCGGGGAUCCUGCGCUUCUUCCUCGCUCAGCGCCCCUGUCGCCACGCCAUGGAUGAACCUCCCUCUGCUCCCACCAAUGCCAUGUACCGAGCUCGCUCUCCUCCUCGAGAUAUUAUCCUCCAAGCUAUAUGAUAUGCACAACACAUGAUUUAUGGAACGAAAAGAGAUCAUGUCAUCCAGAUAAUUAGAUUUCGCCGCAUGAUGUUCUUUACCCCAGCCGAGCAUAGUGUGCUGCCGCGCCGUCGAUUCCACGAAGUGGGCAGCCCGAGCCGAUUCCCCAAUGUGUCAACGACUACGUCCGCUGCGUGAUCCCGUGGGACAUGACCAAUCCACUGCCUCAUCAACACAUCGAGGGUGAAUUGAGUUCAGAUCUUUGAGCAAAGGAUUGCGAUUUUGUAGCUGCAUUGGGGCUAUUCUUUAUCAUUUGCCAUAGGAUGAGCAUCGUUGUGGUCUGGAAUCUUGGGUUUGAGCUUCCUCAGAACUUGUCCUUCAUCAUCUUCCUCAGCAGCAACAUCAGGCAUUGGGGCCUUGUUCUUCAGAAGUUGAGCCUGGUAUUGGUGAUCCUCAGAAAGUUUCGACGAAGGGUGCACCUAAGAAGGGGCGGUCGAAGGGUGGCCCGACGUUACAAAGAAUGGUAGGCCAAAAGAUUUUACAGAGAAGAAAACUGGUCCUUUGUGCAGUCUGUGUAGUCUCCCAAGUCAUAACAAGGCUACAUGUAGUGUGAAUGAGAAGAAUCGGGCGUAGAGAAGCAGCUUGGUUGGUUAGAAGAAUAAAAGUGGUCGCACGAGUCAUGUCUGAAUAACCUAUGCUAUUUUUAUUCGCACAUGUGUGCUAGAAAACUUUAUUUGUACUGUUACGUGAUGAUUUGUACUGUUUCUAUAUGCAGUUUCGAAAUUCUGUUUAUUUGUACUGAUUUUAUUCGCACAUGUGUGCCAAAAAACUUCA